GCCGGGUGCCGACUCCUGUAUAGCGACCUGAGACCUCUGGGUUCUGAGAUGGGGUGUCUGGGGUCUCUGGGUACU
rnacentral:miRNA from 1 species